rnacentral:rRNA from 1 species
GCGAACGCUGGCGGCAGGCCUAACACAUGCAAGUCGAACGGAUCCUUCGGGAUUAGUGGCGGACGGGUGAGUAACACGUGGGAACGUGCCUUUUGGUUCGGAACAACUCAGGGAAACUUGAGCUAAUACCGAAUGUGCCCUUCGGGGGAAAGAUUUAUCGCCUAAGGAUGAGCCCGCGUAGGAUUAGCUUGUUGGUGAGGUAAAGGCUCACCAAGGCGACGAUCCUUAGCUGGUCUGAGAGGAUGAUCAGCCACACUGGGACUGAGACACGGCCCAGACUCCUACGGGAGGCAGCAGUGGGGAAUAUUGGACAAUGGGCGAAAGCCUGAUCCAGCAAUGCCGCGUGAGUGAUGAAGGCCCUAGGGUUGUAAAGCUCUUUUACCCGGGAAGAUAAUGACUGUACCGGGAGAAUAAGCCCCGGCUAACUCCGU